GCUGCUGCCAACCUGGAUCCUUCUUUGGGAAGUACUCUGGUGGUAAAUGAACUGCUCUGAUGGACACACACAGGAUGGGGAUAAAAGAGACUGUCCAGUUUGACCAAUGUACAUGGCAGAGGGGCAUUACUGGCACAUGAUGGCAUAUAUCACAUUGGUGGAUGUGCAGGU